GACGAACGCUGGCGGCGUGCUUAACACAUGCAAGUCGAACGGAAAGGCCCUGCUUUUGUGGGGUGCUCGAGUGGCGAACGGGUGAGUAACACGUGAGUAACCUGCCCUUGACUUUGGGAUAACUUCAGGAAACUGGGGCUAAUACCGGAUAGGAGCUCCUGCUGCAUGGUGGGGGUUGGAAAGUUUCGGCGGGUGGGGAUGGACUCGCGGCUUAUCAGCUUGUUGGUGGGGUAGUGGCUUACCAAGGCUUUGACGGGUAGCCGGCCUGAGAGGGUGACCGGCCACAUUGGGACUGAGAUACGGCCCAGACUCCUACGGGAGGUAGCAGUGGGGAAUAUUGCACCAUGGGCGGAAGCCUGAUGCAGCAACGCCGCGUGCGGGAUGACGGCCUUCGGGUUGUAAACCGCUUUCGCCUGUGACGAAGCGUGAGUGACGGUAAUGGGUAAAGAAGCACCGGCUAACUACGUG
rnacentral:rRNA from 1 species